CACGUAGGGGGCAAGCGUUGUUCGGAAUUACUGGGCGUAAAGGGCAUGUAGGCGGUUUUGUAAGCCUGGCGUGAAAGUCAUCGGCUCAACCGAUGGAUUGCGUCAGGAACUGCAGGGCUUGAAUCACGGAGAGGGAGCUAGAAUUCCUGGUGUAGGGGUGAAAUCUGUAGAGAUCAGGAAGAAUACCAGUGGCGAAGGCGAGCUCCUGGCCGAUGAUUGACGCUGAGGUGCGAAAGUGUGGGGAU
rnacentral:rRNA from 1 species